rnacentral:rRNA from 1 species
GAUGAAAAGAACUUUGAAAAGAGAGUUAAAGAGUGCUUGAAAUUGCCGGGAGGGAAGCGGAUGGAGGCUGUCGAUGCGUCUCGGUCGGAUGUGGAACGGCUCAGGCUGGUCCGCCGCUCGACUUGAGGUGCAAACCAACACGGGCUGCUGCAUCGUCACAAGCGCGGGCGGAUUGCCGCCUGUCGGUUUGCCGCUGCGGUGGUCGAGGAACGAAGCGUGCGCCCUUGUGGCGGGCCGUGUGCACCUGCGCGCUCGUGGUGUUGGUUGGCGGGCUUUCCAUUCGACCCGUCUUGAAACACGGACCAAGGAGUCUGAGAUAUGCGCGAGUGUUUGGGUGUUGAAAACCCGAGCGCGAAAUGAAAGUGAAAGAGGUGGGAACUUGAAAAAGGGCACCAUCGGCCGAUCAUGAUCUCCGGUGAAAGAUUUGAGUUGUAGCGUAUAUCUCGGGACCCGAAAGAUGGUGAUCUAUGCUUGUGUAGGAUAAAGCCAGGGGAAACCCUGGUGGAAGUCCGCAAACGGUUCUGACGUGCAAAUCGAUCGUGAGACAUGGGUAUAGGGGCGAAAGACUCAUCGAACCAUCGAGUAGCUGGUUCCCUCCGAAAUUUCCCUUAGGAUAGCAAUAACU